rnacentral:rRNA from 1 species
CAUAAAGUGCCAGGAAAUAAUUAUAAAUAAAUAUUACUGUUGCAAACUAACACAAGUGGGAGAUAGUGAGGGGAAAAGUUUUUUUAAGGAACUCGGCAAAUUUUUAGCUCUCAUUAGAGGGUUUAAACACAAGGCCUCGGCUGUUUACCAAAAACAUAGCUUUUUGCUAAUAUGAAGGUAGAAGUAUGAAAGGUGAGACCUGCCCAAUGGUUGUAUCUAAAAGGGUUGGUAAAGCCAACUUUAUAAAGACAAUUAAAUGGCCGCGGUAACACUGACCGUGAUAAUGUAGCGUAAUCAAUAGUCAAUUAAUUGUUGGCCGGUAUGAAUGGUGUCACGAGGGUCUCACUGUCUUAAGAAAAUGUCCAGUGAAAUUGAAUUUGUAGUGAAGAUGCUACAUCCAAAUUGUUAGACAAGAAGUCCCCAUGGAACUUUACUGGAAACUUAUGUGGCUUAAAUUAAUUUAUUUCUUACAAAUAAGUAGUUUUAAAAUGUGGUGUUAACCUCUUGGAUUAAUUGGGGUUAGAAAAGCUCACUCUUUUAUUUUAAGAAAGCCAACUCAAAAACUUAUGUCUUUGGGAUUGGAUAAGUGGGACAGUUUGGUUGGGGCGACCGCCUUUAAAAAAGUAACGAAGGCGGGCUUAAGAUAUAUUUUUAGUUAUGUCUGACUGCGAAGGGGGAAUCCUGAGCAGGCACUUAUUUUUAGGUGGGUUUAAGUGACCCGUUAAUUUAGGGUGAAAUAGUUAACGAUAAACAAAUAAAAGUUACCCUGGGGAUAACAGCGCAAUAACGUUUGAGAGUUUUCAUUGACGACGAUGUUUGCGACCUCGAUGUUGAAUUGCGGCAUCCUGGGGUGCAGUCGCUCCCAAGGGUUGGUCUGUUCGUCCAUUAAAGCCGUACAUGAUUUGAGUUAAAAGCGUGGUAACACAGCUUGGUUUCUAUCUACAAUUUGAAGAAACAUUGAUAUAACUAUUUUCUAGUACGAAAGGAUCGAAAAAUUAGUGGUUCUCUUAUUUUUAUAAGUUACAAUCAAUUGAUUGACUCGGAUACUUUUUGAAGGGGUCUUUUGGUUAAUUGCUGAUUGCUUCUAAAGUAUGAAACUUAUAUCAAGUU